rnacentral:rRNA from 1 species
UACGGAGGGUGCAAGCGUUGUCCGGAUUUAUUGGGUUUAAAGGGUGCAUAGGCGGCCCGGUAAGUCAGUGGUGAAAGCCUCCAGCUCAACUGGAGAACUGCCAUUGAUACUGCCGGGCUUGAGUACAGACGAGGUUGGCGGAAUUGAUUGUGUAGCGGUGAAAUGCAUAGAUACAAUCAAGAACUCCGAUUGCGUAGGCAGCUAACUAGGCUGUAACUGACGCUGAGGCACGAAAGCGUGGGGAGCGAACAGG